UACGUAGGGAGCAAGCGUUGUCCGGAAUUACUGGGCGUAAAGGGCGCGUAGGUGGGCGCUUAAGUCAGGUGUGAAAACUCCGGGCUCAACCUGGAGACUGCACUUGAAACUGGGUGUCUUGAGGGCAGGAGAGGAAAGUGGAAUUCCUAGUGUAGCGGUGAAAUGCGUAGAUAUUAGGAGGAACACCAGUGGCGAAGGCGGCUUACUGGACGAUGACUGACGCUGAGGCUCGAAAGUGUGGGUAUCAAACAGG
rnacentral:rRNA from 1 species